rfam:Felis catus isolate Cinnamon breed Abyssinian chromosome X, whole genome shotgun sequence.
GCCUGGGUGGCUCAGUCGGUUAAGCGGCCGACUUCGGCUCAGGUCAUGAUCUCGAGGCUCGUGAGUUCAAGCCUCACGCCGGGCU